rnacentral:piRNA from 1 species
UUUCAAGAGUGCCUGAGCUACCUAUGGAU